rnacentral:rRNA from 1 species
UACACGAGCGGCGAACGGGUGAGUAACACGUGGGUGAUCUGCCCUGCACUUCGGGAUAAGCCUGGGAAACUGGGUCUAAUACCGGAUAUGAGCCUCCACUGCAUGGUGGGGGUUGGAAAGGUUUACUGGUGCAGGAUGGGCCCGCGGCCUAUCAGCUUGUUGGUGGGGUAAUGGCCUACCAAGGCGACGACGGGUAGCCGGCCUGAGAGGGCGACCGGCCACACUGGGACUGAGACACGGCCCAGACUCCUACGGGAGGCAGCAGUGGGGAAUAUUGCACAAUGGGCGAAAGCCUGAUGCAGCGACGCCGCGUGAGGGAUGACGGCCUUCGGGUUGUAAACCUCUUUCAGCAGGGACGAAGCGAGAGUGACGGUACCUGCAGAAGAAGCACCGGCCAACUACGUGCCAGCAGCCGCGGUAAUACGUAGGGUGCGAGCGUUGUCCGGAAUUACUGGGCGUAAAGAGCUCGUAGGCGGUUUGUCGCGUCGUCUGUGAAAACCAGCAGCUCAACUGCUGGCUUGCAGGCGAUACGGGCAGACUUGAGUACUGC